GGCUGGGUGGCCUAAUGGCUUAAGGCAUCACUUUCCGGUUACCACACCUGACUGGUGAAGAUUGCGGGUUCGAGUCCCGUCCUGGUCG
rnacentral:tRNA from 1 species